ensembl:lncRNA
GCCUUGAGGGAACCACAGGAACAUUCAGUAGCUGUUGGAGUUCUUCCUGUCAGGCUCGUGGUAGAACGGCUCUGAAGAAUCUUGUACUUGUCUUAUCUGGAACAAUCUAACAGCCUAAACUGUUAACAGCAGUGUAAAGAAGCAAACACUCAGGCAUAGAUUAGGACUCAAACUAGAUUUAUUUUAGAAAACAAAUCAGCUUAGAGGCAUUUGUUCACACAUGUGGCUGAAUAGGAGGCCGUCCAAUCAAGAUUUGAGGUCUUCACUCUGUAGGUUGCUUGUUGGGUGAGACUCAUGGACCUCCAUCAGCUGACAUGGAUGUUUGAUGGUCUUCUUCUCUAGUUCCAGAUGAUUCAUCCAUGAAUUCAGCAGCUACAGACUGAAAUGAAGCUCAUGCUGCCGUGAUUGAAUUCCUGUUCCAGAUCAAAUGUUCAGAGCUCACCUUGAAUGCAGCCGUCUGCUGUCUGAUAGUUUUUCUCAUUGUAGUCUUCAAUAAAGUCUUUUUCCUCAUGUCAGGAUGUGGUGAGACUCUUUCUCAGUCUCUGCAGACGUCCCUCAUUGUGCAUCUCCAGAGAAGAAACAGAAAAACUAGUCACUGCUUCAGCAUCACAAACGCUCUCCAGCAUUGAGAGUGUUUUAGGAAUUCAUUCAUUGUGUUGUGAACUUUGAAGGAGCAGAAACUUUACAGCUGCCAAAGAUAUGAGCUCCAAUUCUGGAUGUUUUAGGAAUCAAGUUCAUCAAAUGAACACUUGAUUAUUGCUGAUAACGUUCAUUAAAUUAGUGAAGAAAUCUAACAUAAAAACCUGUAAACUCUCAGGCAGCUUUUGUUAAAGUUUGUCUAUAAUUCUAUCAUCAUGUUCUGGAACCAGGACUCUGCAGAAGUUCCUUCAAUCAGAUACUUGUGUGUUUCUAUUUAAGGCCUCAGGUUUGAACGUACAGCAGAGGAUUAGAAAGGAAUGAUUUUAAUAUUUAAAUCAGUCCAGUAAAUGUUUGGAGUAAAAAUGAUUAAAAUUUUGAUUUAGAUAGAUUUGUGUCAAAUAAUAUUGCAGAGUCUCACUUAAAUAUAUCCAAAUGAGUUCAGUGUAUUUAUUUUAUAGAAUAUUUGAUUUCUUAAUCAAUACUGUAGGGUCUGACCCUAAAUAUUAUAAUAAUGAUGUCAAUUUAAAUAAUAUUUUAGUGCAGAGUCAUAAACUUUAAUCAGCUAAACUUACAUACUUACAAACUUAGGCAAUAUUACUAGUAAGCACUGUAUUAAUUUCCAUUGUUAUGCUGACGACACUCAAUUGUAUUUAUCUAUGAAGCCAAAUGAAACUAAUCAGCUAGCC